rnacentral:tRNA from 1 species
UGGGUUGUAGCUCAGUGGAAAAGUGCUUACCUAUCAUGGGAGGCACUGGGUUCGAUUCUCAGCAUCACAU